rnacentral:rRNA from 1 species
AACGAACGCUGGCGGCAGGCCUAACACAUGCAAGUCGAGCGAGGACUUCGGUUCUAGCGGCGGACGGGUGAGUAACGCGUGGGAAUGUGCCCUUCUCUACGGAAUAGCCCUGGGAAACUGGGAGUAAUACCGUAUACGCCCUAUUGGGGAAAGAUUUAUCGGAGAAGGAUCAGCCCGCGUUGGAUUAGGUAGUUGGUGGGGUAAUGGCCUACCAAGCCGACGAUCCAUAGCUGGUUUGACAGGAUGAUCAGCCACACUGGGACUGAGACACGGCCCAGACUCCUACGGGAGGCAGCAGUGGGGAAUCUUAGACAAUGGGGGCAACCCUGAUCUAGCCAUGCCGCGUGAGUGAUGAAGGCCUUAGGGUUGUAAAGCUCUUUCAGCUGGGAAGAUAAUGACGGUACCAGCAGAAGAAGCCCCGGCUAACUCCGUG